UCCCUGAUAGUUCAAUUGGUAAAGGAUCUGCCUGCAGUGCAGAAGACCCAGGCUUCAUUCCUGGGUCAGGAAG
rnacentral:tRNA from 1 species